GACGGCUGCAAAAUUCCUACAUCCAAUCUGGACGUUUUGCAAUAUUUAGACUGCAAAUAUUCGGAUAGCGAUUGACUAGUCUAGCACUACGGGGUACGGCGGCAGCGCAGGAAUAGGCGGAGUGGAGGAGCGCGCUCGGCAGAUGAUCCCGGCAUCGGAUCGGCGACAGCGGCGGCGUGAAGGCCGCCGACUAGGCGACGAGAGCACAGCGCGUGAAGGCCGCGGCCCGCGGGGGAAAGAGUCAAGAGAGAUAGAGGCCUGACGCAACUAACGAAACGGCAGAUGGGCCGGGCCGUACCACGCGCCCAGACAAAGCUCUCAGCAGCUGGCCGCUAGCCCAUGAGCGUUCGGUCAAUCGAAGAGACUCAAAGUAGUGGGGGCCCACAGCUGGGACCGCCGCGAUUUCGAAGCUUCUCCUUCCGGGGUUUCCCCAUCUCUCCUCGCUCCUGUCUCGUGCUCUCGCCCCCUCGCGGCCUCGCCCGUCCAGCGCGCUCUCCCUCCCCCCUCCCCAAACCACGCGGGAAGUCUAGCCGCCGCCGGCGAAUCUUCUCCGUGCAGCGCAUCCGCCUCGCCGCCCCGGCAGGUUCGUCGCGGAACCGUACGAUUGGACCUUUCCUUCCGAUUUCUCGUGCGAUUUUGGGUGGCGAGCAUAAUUGGGAUCGGUGGUGCUGUUGUUUUGCUCUCCAGGCUGGUGUCGAACCCUAAUGGACGCACUGGUGGCAAGGCGGCCUCGCCGCAGCUCGCGCGCGUUGCGUCUCGACGGGGGCGCGCGGUGGCACCGAUGCACGGCCUCGGCAACGGCGACGCCUCCGGUUCUGUGGCUUCGCCGUGACCCCUUUGCGCGAUAACUUGUCAUACAAAAGAUGGCCUGAAGACUAAGGAUGAACUUUUGCUGAUUGCAAAGGAGAAUGGCAAACUUUGAAGAACUCAUUGCUAAUGCUAUUGGGUCGAUGGCCUGGUGUGGCACCUGAAAAGACAUCGAAGUGGCAAAGCAUGUGCCAUUAGUUACAAGGUAUUUCUGUUCUUACAUACUGUAGAGCCUAUCAGCCUAUUUUACAUUAAAUUUUCCGUUGUCUUUCGUGCAUGUGACUGACAACACGAUCCUGCUAGACUUACAUUUAACAUGUAUGCCAUUGAUGUAUAAAUUUCUUUUAACAUCCAAGUUAUGAACUCAGGUAAGGGAGGAUCAGGGUCAGGCCUUUUGUUUUACACAAUUUGCCCCCAUUCAGGUAAGGGGGGUUUGUGUUAUAAUUUGCGUUGCGGUAGUGUGCUCGCUUCUAUUCUGACAUGGUGAUUUAGAGGUGAACCAGAUACGUUGCUUCGUGACGAUAGAUUUGGUGGACGCUAAUCAGCUCCGAUCUCAUUUUUUAAAUUAUUUUUUAAAUUGUAUAUAUCGGAUGGAUUUGGCUUGAAUUGGAGAACGGAACAUCAAUGGCAGCGCAUUGAUGGCCGGCCAGUGCAGUUAGCCCGACAAUUAAAGAAACUAACGGCACGAUUGAUGAACUCGUGAACGACAAAACUGAAAAUUCAAUUGGUCUACAAUUAUGACG